AAGAAGGUUGCCGAUGGCAAAGAAGUAGAUGUCUCAAGCAAGAAGACAGGAAGAGCUGGUCGGAAGAGAAAGGAGCUGGAUCUAGCGAGGACCUCAACAAUCCCACUAAAUAAAAGAAGGACAAUUCAAUCUCUGGCACGGUCUCUAGGUGUGGCCCGAUCGACCCUACAUAAGAGGUUCCAGUUGAAUGAUCUCAACCGCAUCACAAGCACCGUGAAGCCUCACCUCAAGCCAGAGAACAAGCUUGCGAGAUUGAAAUUAUGCAUGUCCAUGCUCGAUGACAAUUCGAUAUCAACUUCUUGGGCUAAUUCAAGCCAAUGA
rnacentral:rRNA from 1 species